AACGAACGCUGGCGGCAUGCCUAACACAUGCAAGUCGAACGAGACCUUCGGGUCUUGUGGCGCACGGGUACGUAACGCGUGGGAACCUGCCCUUAGGUUCGGAAUAACUCCCCGAAAGGGGUGUUAAUACCGGAUAAUGUCUUCGGACCAAAGAUUUAUCGCCUUUGGAUGGGCCCGCGUUGGAUUAGCUAGUUGGUAGGGUAAAAGCCUACCAAGGCGACGAUCCAUAGCUGGUCUGAGAGGAUGAUCAGCCACACUGGGACUGAGACACGGCCCAGACUCCUACGGGAGGCAGCAGUGGGGAAUAUUGGACAAUGGGCGAAAGCCUGAUCCAGCAAUGCCGCGUGAGUGAUGAAGGCCUUAGGGUUGUAAAGCUCUUUUACCCGGGAUGAUAAUGACAGUACCGGGAGAGUAAGCUCCGGCUAACUCCGUG
rnacentral:rRNA from 1 species